rnacentral:rRNA from 1 species
UAGGAUAUCUCAAUUCAACAUCGAGGUAAUAAACUUUAUUUCGAAUUUGAGCUUCUUAAUAAAAUUAUCCUGUUAUCCCUAAAGUAGCUUUUAUUUAUUAAUCAUUAAUUAUUUUUCUUUAAAUUAAUGGGUCUUAUUUAACCUACUUUGUAACUGUUAAACUUAUGAGUUGUACAGUAUUUCUCUUUAAAUUAUUUUUGUUAUGUUUUUGUUUUUUUUUAAAAACCAUCGCCCCAAUGAAACUACCAACCGAAAAAUUUUUUAAGGUUAUAGUUAAGCUUUAUAGGGUCUUUUCGUCUUACAAUUUUAAACAGCAUCUUAACUGUUAUUUUAAUUUCUGAAAGUUAUAUUAUAAGACAGUGAAAUUUUCGUUCAGCCAUUCAUACUAUUCACUAAUUAGGUGACGAUUGAUUGUGCUACAUUAUUACAGUCAUGAUUACUGCAGCCAUUCGGUUUUUCUUGUUUUAUUUAUUUAACUUUUUUUAACCAAUGGGC